AUACAGAGGGUGCAAGCGUUAAUCGGAAUUACUGGGCGUAAAGCGCGCGGAGGUGGUUAGUUAAGUUGGAUGUGAAAGCCCUGGGCUCAACCUGGGAAUGGCAUUCAAAACUGGCUGACUAGAGUAUGGUAGAGGGAAGGGGAAUUCCAGGUGUAGCGGUGAAAUGCGUAGAUAUCUGGAGGAACAUCAGUGGCGAAGGCGCCUUCCUGGACUAAUACUGACACUGAGGUGCGAAAGCGUGGGUAGCAAACAGGAUUAGAAACCCUAGUAGUCC
rnacentral:rRNA from 1 species